rnacentral:rRNA from 1 species
CACCGCGGUUAUACGAGAGGCUCAAGUUGACAGACAACGGCGUAAAGAGUGGUUAGGGAAACUUUCAAACUAAAGCCGAACGUCCUCAAAGCUGUUUAACGCUUCCGAGUUAAGAAGCCCCACUACGAAAGUGGCUUUACCCCACCUGACCCCACGAAAGCUGUGAAA